CUACCAUUGCGUUUCAGCAAGUGCAUUAGUUCGGAGAUAACGAGUAAAAAAGAAGUCUUGUGUCUAUCCAUCCAUUGGGAUAUGAACAUGAGAGAGGUAGUUUGCAGAGAGUACGUGACUACCUUAUCACUAUUGAGUUUCUAAAAGUUCAAAAACAAAAGAAAUAGAAAAACAAAAACAAAAAAUUCAGACAACCUCUGCUAUAUAAACAUAAAGCCACAUAUUUUACACCCAUCAGUUUUCAUCAUCUAUUUAGAAGUCUCUAAUUCUUUGGUGAUCUUUUUGGCUAUAAAAUUAGAAAGGAAGAACUCUCUAAUUCUUCACCUCAUACAUACAUCAAGCGGCCAAAGUCUAAACAGAGAAAGAAAAGUCAGUGGGUCAUAUUUGGAGUGAUCAUGUUUACCAUUUCAAAGGGAUUUGCUGUUAUAUCUGCAACUAAGAACCUCCAACGACCGUUCAGAAAAGAUAUAUUUGCAUCAGGACGCACAAGAUUUUUGGAAUGGGUGGUUUCGGAAAAUCAGUUCUCUCUCGGCUCU